GGGCCCGUAGCUCAGUGGUCAGAGCAGGGAGCUCAUAACUCUUUGAUCGCAGGUUCGAGUCCUGCCGGGCCCA
rnacentral:tRNA from 1 species